UACGAAGGGGGCUAGCGUUGCUCGGAAUUACUGGGCGUAAAGGGAGCGUAGGCGGACUGUUAAGUUAGAGGUGAAAGCCCAGGGCUCAACCUUGGAAUUGCCUUUGAUACUGGCAGUCUUGAGUACGGAAGAGGUAUGUGGAACUCCGAGUGUAGAGGUGAAAUUCGUAGAUAUUCGGAAGAACACCAGUGGCGAAGGCGACAUACUGGCUCAUUACUGACGCUGAGGUGCGAAAGCGUGGGGAGCAAACAGG
rnacentral:rRNA from 1 species